UACGUAGGGGGCUAGCGUUGUCCGGAAUCAUUGGGCGUAAAGCGCGCGUAGGCGGCCCGGUAAGUCCGCUGUGAAAGUCAAAGGCUCAACCUUUGAAUGUCAGCGGAUACUGCCGGGCUAGAGUCCGGAAGAGGCGAGUGGAACUCCUGGUGUAGCGGUGGAAUGCGCAGAUAUCAGGAAGAACACCAACGGCGAAGGCAGCUCGCUGGGACGUUACUGACGCUGAGACGCGAAAGCGUGGGGAGCAAACAGG
rnacentral:rRNA from 1 species